rnacentral:rRNA from 1 species
AGAGUUUGAUCCUGGCUCAGGACGAACGCUGGCGGCGUGCCUAAUACAUGCAAGUCGAGCGGACUUUAAAAGCUUGCUUUUAAAGUUAGCGGCGGACGGGUGAGUAACACGUGGGCAACCUGCCUGUAAGACUGGGAUAACUUCGGGAAACCGGAGUCUAAUACCGGAUAAUCCUUUUCCUCUCAUGAGGCAAAAGCUGAAAGAUGGUUUACGCUGUCACUUACAGAUGGGCCCGCGGCGCAUUAGCUAGUUGGUGAGGUAACGGCUCACCAAGGCAAUCGAUGCGUAGCCGACCUGAGAGGGUGAUCGGCCACACUGGGACUGAGACACGGCCCAGACUCCUACGGGAGGCAGCAGUAGGGAAUCUUCCGCAAUGGACGAGAAGUCUGACGGAGCAACGCCGCGUGAGUGAUGAAGGUUUUCGGAUCGUAAAACUCUGUUGUUAGGGAAGACACAAGUACAAGAGUGAACUGCUUGAUACCUUGUACGGUACCUAACCGAGACAG